GGACAGAUGGCUGAGAGGUCUAAGGCCGGCCGCUUGAAACGGUCUAGCACCCUGUGCUCGUAGGUUCGAAUCCUACUUUGUCCUCCU
rnacentral:tRNA from 1 species